rnacentral:rRNA from 1 species
UAAAGUUGUUGCGGUUAAAAAGCUCGUAGUUGAAAUUGUGUCCUGCGGCGUCGGUCUACCGAUUGCGGUACGACAGGCGCGUCUGCGGGGCUUCUCGCCGGUGCGUGUUCACCGCCGGCGCGUCGGCGUCGGCUCCUAGCGGGUCGGCGUCCGGCGCAGAGGCGGGCCCUCGCGGCUGUUUACUUUGAACAAAUUAGAGUGCUCAAAGCGGGCUAAUAUUUGCCUGAAUAUUGUGUGCAUGGAAUAAUAGAAUAGGACCUCGGUUCUGUUUUGUUGGCUUUCUGAUACCAGAGGUAAUGAUUAAUAGGGACAACUGGGGGCAUUCGUAUUGCGACGUUAGAGGUGAAAUUCUUGGAUCGUCGCAAGACGGACUAAAGCGAAAGCAUUUGCCAAAGGUGUUUUCAUUAAUCAAGAACGAAAGUUAGAGGUUCGAAGGCGAUUAGAUACCGCUGUAGUUCUAACCAUAAAUGAUGCCAGCCAGCGAUCCGCCGAAGUUUUUUUAUUUGAUUCGGUGGGCAGCUCCCGGGAAACCGAAGCUUUC